GGACAACAAAACUCUGGUCAGAGCUAAAACUCUGAGCUGUUAAAGACACUGUCCCUGAUUUGUACAUUAAGUGUUGCACACACAUAUACAGACUCAACGUCUCUUCUUACUUCAUGGCAACAAUAUCACAGAUGGUGCACCACCCGCCCUUGGAGAGCAGUGAAAGUCAUGCUGGUGGUGCAGAGCUGAAAGUGUGUCAGAGGGGGGAGGCUCCAGGGCCCGGCCUGGAAUCUCCAAUCGCCUCACAGAGUCCUAGGCAGAGGACCAGCCCUGCGCAGAGCAACAGCAGAGGAAAAGAGAAGGCCAGUGCCCACUGGAAACACACCAUCCAUCAGCACGCUGUGUAAAACCACACAGAUAGUGUUUCACUUAGAAACACGUGUCGACCGGAAGCUGCAGUCGCCGUCGUGUGAAAUCGUUGUAAUCUCCAAUAUGUCACAGGCAAAUAAAGACUGCUUGUUUUAA